rnacentral:rRNA from 1 species
UAAAGAAUCUUCCGCAAUGGGCGAAAGCCUGACGGAGCGACACCGCGUGCAGGAUGAAGGCCCUCGGGUCGUAAACUGCUUUUCUGGGGGAAUAACUAUGAAGGUACCCUAGGAAUAAGCACCGGCUAAUCACGUGCCAGCAGCCGCGGUAAUACGUGAGGUGCAAACAUUACCCGGAAUUAUUGGGCGUAAAGCGUUCGUAGGCGGUUUUGCAAGUCUGACAUUAAAUCUUAAGGCUCAACUUUAAGACUGUGUCAGAAACUGCCAAACUAGAGGCUUGGAGAGGUGAGUGGAAUUCUACAUGUAGGGGUAAAAUCCGUAGAUAUGUAGAGGAACACCAAAAGCGAAGGCAGCUCACUGGACAAGUCCUGACGCUCAGGAACGAAAGCGUGGGUAGCAAACGGG